rnacentral:lncRNA from 1 species
CCAUACAUUUACCACAUUUCUAGAUAUGUGUUAUAUUGCAAUUUUAUUGAAGAAAGUAAAUCGGAUGAAUGUGGAAAAAAAAAUAUCCUUUUGACCGUGUGAGUGCAUCCUUCUUACUCUCUUCUUCUGACUUUCUCUCUCAAUCUAGGCCCAACAAGGGUCCCCAUAGACAUAGAAUAAAGCAGUAUUGUUUGGUGGGGGGUUUAAUUUCACUCCAUCACAAGUGACCAUCGCAGCCCUGUCAUUGCAAUUUGUCACACUUUUUUGAUACUGAAGGUUCCUAAAUUACCAGCAAAGAAACUACACAAAGACACAAUCCUGCUUACCAAAGAAACAUCUGAAUUAUCAAUUUGGAAAUAGGAAAUAGGUAGAGGAAAACAGGAAACUUUGUGGAGGGGGGAAAAGCUCAGGAACUAGUGGACAGAGAUCAUUUUGUGUGUUUGUGUGUGUGUGUGUGUGUGUGUGUGUGUGUGUGUGUGUUAUAGAUUUUAACCAUCUUAAAAUGAAAUGACUAGUCAGGUCCGGAGGUGAAAUUGUGAAACUGCAGUUAGAUUCCCAGGCUUUCACAGCUGCUGAGCAACUGUUCCCCAACCUCGGUUGUGAGGUGUGUCUUACGUCAUUUGCUACUAAUAAAACAAAGUGCUACAGUUUGUGGGCAACUUACUGAUUUUAUAAAUCAGAUUACCUUUUCCUAGAACAACAACAUUCACACCGACUUGCUUUCUGAUAUGCUUUUUUUAAAGUACUUUAUCUCAUAUCGAUAAGCAGGUAUAUCGCCUAAGCAAACUGACUUUGAUAAUU